AUUGAACGCUGGCGACAUGCCUUACGCAUGCAAGUCGAACGGCAGCACGGGUGCUUGCACCUGGUGGCGAGUGGCGAACGGGUGAGUAAUACAUCGGAACAUGUCCUGUAGUGGGGGAUAGCCCGGCGAAAGCCGGAGUAAUACCGCAUACGAACUACGGAUGAAAGCGGGGGGCCUUCGGGCCUCGCGCUAUAGGGUUGGCCGAAGGCGGAUUAGCUAGUUGGUGGGGUAAAGGCCUACCAAGGCGACGAUCAGUAGCUGAUCUGAGAGGACGACCAGCCACACUGGAACUGAGACACGGUCCAGACUCCUACGGGAGGCAGCAGUGGGGAAUUUUGCACAAUGGGCGAAAGCCUGAUCGAGCAACGCCGCGUGUGUGAAGAAGGCCUUCGGGUUGUAAAGCACUGUUGUCCGGAAAGAAAUACUUGGCACUAAUACGUGCGGGGGAUGACGGUACCGGAAGAAUAAGCCACGGCUAACUACGUG
rnacentral:rRNA from 1 species